GACUCUCGGCAACGGAUAUCUCGGCUCACGCAUCGAUGAAGAACGUAGCAAAAUGCGAUACUUGGUGUGAAUUGCAGAAUCCCGUGAACCAUCGAGUUUUUGAACGCAAGUUGCGCCCGAAGCCAUUCGGCUGAGGGCACGUCUGCCUGGGCGUCACGC
rnacentral:rRNA from 13 species